GGCCACUAUCCUACCAUCGAAAGUUGAUAGGGCAGAAAUUUGAAUGAACCAUCGCCGGCGCAAGGCCAUGCGAUUCGUUAAGUUAUUAUGAUUCACCAAGGAGCCCCGAAGGGCGUUGGUUUUUUAUCUAAUAAAUACACCCCUUCCUGAAUCCAGGGUUUUUACAAGGUAUUACCUUUAAAAUUACCACGGGAUUCCUGGUAUAAGGGACCUUUCAAUUAACCAAUACCGGUUUUAUGGACCCUUUCCAAUUUCCCCAUAUAAAAUGGUUAUACUUUAAACUUGAUGGGUUAAUCUU
rnacentral:rRNA from 1 species